UUGAUGGUGGUUCUUGGUUGCAGGUGGUGUUGAUGGUGGUUCUUGGUUGUAGGUGAUGCGAUGGUGGUUCUUGGUUGUUGAUGGUGGUUCUUGGCUGUAGGUGGUGUUGAUGGUGGUUCUUGGUUGUAGGUGGUGUUGAUGGUGCUUCUUGGUUGUAGGUGCUGUUGAUGGUGGUUCUUGGUUGUAGAUGAUUGUGGUUCUUGGUAGUAGGUGAUGGUGGUUCUUGGUUGUAGGUGAUUCUGAUGGUGGUUCUUGGUUGUAGGUGAUGGUGGUUCUUGGUUGUAGGUGAUGGUGGUUCUUGGUUGUAGGUGUUGUUGAUGGUGGUUCUUGGUUGUUGAUGGUUGUUCUUGGUUGUUGAUGGUGGUUCUUGGUUGUAGGUGAUGGUAGUUCUUGGUUGUUGAUGGUGGUUCUUGGUUGUAGGUGUUGAUGAUGGUGGUUCUUGGUUGUAGGUGAUGGUAGUUCUUGGUUGUUGAUGGUGGUUCUUGGUUGUAGGUGUUGAUGAUGGUGGUUCUUGGUUGUAGGUGUUGUUGAUGGUGGCUUUUGGUUGUAGGUGAUGGUGUUUCUUGGUUAUUGGUGAUGUUGGUUCUUGGUUGUAGGUGGUGUUGAUGUUGGUUCUUGGUUGUAGGUGUUGUUGAUGGUGGUUCUUGGUUGUAGGUGAUGGUGUUUCUUGGUUAUUGGUGAUGUUGGUUCUUGGUUGUAGGUGGUGUUGAUGUUGGUUCUUGGUUGUAGGUGGUGUUGAUGGUGGUUCUUGGUUGUAGGUGAUGGUGGUUGUAGGUAUUGUUGAUGGUGGUUCUUGGUUGUAGGUGAUGGUGGUUCUUGGUUGUAGGUGGUGUUGAUGGUGGUUCUUGGUUGUAGGUGGUGGUGGUUCUUGGUUACAGGUGAUGGUGGUUCUUGGUUGUAGGUGAUUGUGAUGGUGGUUCUUGGUUGUAGGUGAUGGUGGUUCUUGGUUGUAGGUGAUGGUGUUUCUUGGUUAUAGGUGAUGGUGGUUCUUGGUUGUAGGUGGUGUUGAUGGUGGUUCUUGGUUACAGGUGAUGGUGGUUGUAGGUGGUGUUGAUGUUGGUUCUUGGUUGUAGGUGGUGUUGAUGGUGGUUCUUGGUUGUAGGUGAUUCUGAUGGUGGUUCUUGGUUGUAGGUGCCCGCGUCUGUUGUGCUGCUGUUUGACCUGCAGACGGCCCCUGCGGUGCUCCAGCGCCUUCUGGCCUUCGCAGGGAACCUGAAGGCGUGGACGCCGUCCUCCCCAGUGGCGGCCGAGCUGCGCAGCCGGCAGGACUGCCUGUACCGGGUGCUGCUGGACCCGUCCUCCACGCUGCACAGCAGGCUGGUCCAACUGCUCUCCCACCCCGACCAGGAUGUCCGCGCACAUGUGGCUCAUGUGCUCCUGUGAGGCCCGGUGUGAAGACUCGCUGGUGACAGUCUGCCUCAAGGGGACCAACACCGCCAUCUGAAGGCCAGGGGCCACCGUGGAACCCCUUUUGGCUUUAGUCCUGGUGUGGCUGUAACUCGUCUCCAUCCGACACAGAAGUUGGCAGAACCACGGAAAACGGGGCGGCCAUUUUGAAGAACUCAUCCAUUUAAAAGUUCCCUGUUCUGCUCAUGUUGAGAACCGGUGAAAGAGACCUCUUGAUCUGCACACAUCAAGUCCUCUUUUCUAAGUGCUUCCUGUCUGCAACAUGUUGUUAAACAGCAGGUUUCUUUUUUAUUAUUUAAUGAGAAUAUCCAAAGCCACUGCCAAAUCGGUGACUCCGAUUGUUGUCUGGAGUUCUCCCAAAACAUGAAUAAUGUGAGCGGUAAAGCCGAGGUCCUGCUGCAACACCUGCUACAGCUGUUGGAAUACAAUGACUUUGGCUAUCUAUAAUAUUAAAAGAAAAAACAAAGCCCAUUUCUAAUGAAUUAGUGUAUUGGCUAAAUAACAACCAGAGAGACAGAGCCCGACAAAGGGCCAGGGAGCUAAACUGAUCCGUCUAUUAUUUACUAACAUAUGGCCUUGAUAUUACUGAAAGUUACGUCUUGGGUAUUUACCAAAAUGGAUGCAGCUUGGGUCUGCAAUUGUCUAAUGUAAUGUAAUCAUUUAUUACUGCUAUAAUAAGCCUUUCAACCUUGUUUUUACAAACAAGUUAUAGAUUCGUCGUAGGGUUUACCAGACGCACUGAGAAAUAUGUGUAAUUCUAUAAGAGCCCAGUAUGUACUGUAUAUGUACAGUAUGUAUGUAUGUGGCUAAAGCUAUCAACCAGUGAGCUAUUUAGUGUGACACUUUUUAUGAUGGCCAACUCUUAACAGAAAUGCCUGUUUUGUCUGCUUGAAUGUCUCAAUACAUUACUGAUGUAAAAUGUUUGGAGUUUGACCCGAAUUAUAAUCAGUCUUCAUUUGACGUGCAUUAACUGACGAUUUAUGGGACAUUUAAACAAGACGACACAAUUCAAGGAGAAUUAAUGAUGUGGAACCUAGCGGUGAGUUUACAGAUUGAAACCAAUUAAACUAAAC
ensembl:lncRNA